rnacentral:rRNA from 1 species
GGCUCAGAUUGAACGCUGGCGGCAUGCUUUACACAUGCAAGUCGAACGGUAACAGGCCGCAAGGUGCUGACGAGUGGCGAACGGGUGAGUAAUGCAUCGGAACGUGCCCGAUCGUGGGGGAUAACGCAGCGAAAGCUGUGCUAAUACCGCAUACGAUCUACGGAUGAAAGCGGGGGACCUGUAAGGGCCUCGCGCGAUCGGAGCGGCCGAUGUCAGAUUAGGUAGUUGGUGGGGUAAAGGCUCACCAAGCCAACGAUCUGUAGCUGGUCUGAGAGGACGACCAGCCACACUGGAACUGAGACACGGUCCAGACUCCUACGGGAGGCAGCAGUGGGGAAUUUUGGACAAUGGGCGCAAGCCUGAUCCAGCAAUGCCGCGUGCAGGAAGAAGGCCUUCGGGUUGUAAACUGCUUUUGUACGGAACGAAAAGGCUCUGGUUAAUACCUGGGGCUGAUGACGGUACCGUAAGAAUAAGCACCGGCUAACUACGUG